rnacentral:rRNA from 1 species
UACGGGGGGGGCAAGCGUUGUUCGGAAUUACUGGGCGUAAAGGGCUCGUAGGCGGCCAACUAAGUCACACGUGAAAUCCCCAGGCUUAACCUGGGAACUGCGUGUGAUACUGGAUGGCUUGAAUUCAGGAGAGGGAUGCAGAAUUCCAGGUGUAGCGGUGAAAUGCGUAGAUAUCUGGAGGAAUACCGGUGGCGAAGGCGGCAUCCUGGACCGAGAUUGACGCUGAACGGCGAAAGCUAGGGGAGCAAACGGG